UACGUAGGAGGCAAGCGUUGUCCGGAAUUACUGGGCGUAAAGCGCGUGUAGGCGGAUGCCUAAGUCUGUGGUGAAAGCGCCUGGCUUAACCGGGCGAGGUCCAUGGAAACUAGGCGUCUGGAGGCCGGUAGAGGGGGGUGGAAUUCCGGGUGUAGUGGUGAAAUGCGUAGAGAUCCGGAGGAACACCAGUGGCGAAGGCGGCCCCCUGGGCCGCGCCUGACGCUGAGGAGCGAAAGCGUGGGGAGCGAACAGG
rnacentral:rRNA from 1 species